rnacentral:rRNA from 1 species
AUUGAACGCUGGCGGCAGGCCUAACACAUGCAAGUCGAGCGAGCGGCGGACGGGUGAGUAAUGUAUGGGGACUGCCCGAUAGAGGGGGAUAACUACUGGAAACGGUGGCUAAUACCGCAUACUAUCGGCUAACCCAUAUGGGAUUAGCUAGUAGGUGGGGUAAAGGCUCACCUAGGCGACGAUCUCUAGCUGGUCUGAGAGGAUGAUCAGCCACACUGGGACGUGGACACGAGCCAGACUCCUGGGGAUGCAGCAGUGGGGAAUCUUCCGCGAUGUACGAAAGUCUGACGGAGCAACGCCGCGUGAGUUAGGACGGUCUUCGGGUUGGAGAGCUCUGUUAAUCGGGACGCGGUACCGGAAUAGAAAGCCACGGCUAACUACGUGCCAGCAGCCGCGGUAAUUC